rnacentral:rRNA from 1 species
GUGGAUUAGAUACCCUGGUAGUCCACGCCCUAAACGAUGUCAACUAGGUGUUGGGUGGGUAAAACCAUUUAGUACCGGAGCUAACGCGUGAAGUUGACCGCCUGGGGAGUACGGCCGCAAGGUUAAAACUCAAAGGAAUUGACGGGGACCCGCACAAGCGGUGGAUGAUGUGGAUUAAUUCGAUGCAACGCGAAAAACCUUACCUACCCUUGACAUGUCUGGAAGGCUGAAGAGAUUUGGCUGUGCCCGAAAGGGAGCCGGAACACAGGUGCUGCAUGGCCGUCGUCAGCG